AUUUCAUGUUGUGGGCAUUUCCUCGAUAUUUCCUUGUACCUCUCCCAAGUGUCAUACAAGGUUUCAGACUCCAAUUGUAGGAAGAAGGAGAUAUCACUCCUUGGUGAUU